CAGCCGCCGCGGGAAAACGGAGGGUGCAAGCGUUAUCCGGAUUUAUUGGGUUUAAAGGGUCCGUAGGCGGAUCUGUAAGUCAGUGGUGAAAUCUCACAGCUUAACUGUGAAACUGCCAUUGAUACUGCAGGUCUUGAGUAAAUUUGAAGUGGCUGGAAUAAGUAGUGUAGCGGUGAAAUGCAUAGAUAUUACUUAGAACACCAAUUGCGAAGGCAGGUCACUAAGAUUUAACUGACGCUGAUGGACGAAAGCGUGGGGAGCGAACAGGAUUAGAUACCCCGGUAGUCCCUGUCUCUUAUAC
rnacentral:rRNA from 1 species